rnacentral:lncRNA from 1 species
ACCAAAAAUUAAGAAUCUACAUACAUAGUUAGAUUCGGCAUAUCAAAGAACCCCAAUUAUUCAAUUUUUGAUGAAAUCACAAAGUUCAAUUUUGGACCCUUUGGGCCCCUUAUUCCUAAACCGUUGGGACCAAAACUCCCAAAAUCAAACCCAACCUUCCUUUUAUGGUCAUAAACCUUGUGUUUAAAUUUCAUAGAUUUCUAUUUACUUAUACUAAAGUUAUGGUGCAAAAAACCAAGA